UACGGGGGGAGCAAGCGUUGUUCGGAUUUACUGGGCGUAAAGGGCGCGUAGGCGGCCACCGCAAGUCGACUGUGAAAUCUCCGGGCUUAACCCGGAGACGCCAUCCGAUACUGCUGUGACUUGAGUCUGGUAGGGGAACACGGAAUACCUGGUGUAGCGGUGAAAUGCGCAGAUAUCAGGAGGAACACCGGUGGCGAAGGCGGGUCUCUGGGCCGUAACUGACGCUGAGGAGCGAAAGCAUGGGGAGCGAACAGG
rnacentral:rRNA from 1 species